AGAGUUUGAUCCUGGCUCAGGAUGAACGCUGGCGGCGUGCCUAAUACAUGCAAGUCGAGCGAACGGACGAGAAGCUUGCUUCUCUGAUGUUAGCGGCGGACGGGUGAGUAACACGUGGAUAACCUACCUAUAAGACUGGGAUAACUUCGGGAAACCGGAGCUAAUACCGGAUAAUAUUUUGAACCGCAUGGUUCAAAAGUGAAAGACGGUCUUGCUGUCACUUAUAGAUGGAUCCGCGCUGCAUUAGCUAGUUGGUAAGGUAACGGCUUACCAAGGCAACGAUGCAUAGCCGACCUGAGAGGGUGAUCGGCCACACUGGAACUGAGACACGGUCCAGACUCCUACGGGAGGCAGCAGUAGGGAAUCUUCCGCAAUGGGCGAAAGCCUGACGGAGCAACGCCGCGUGAGUGAUGAAGGUCUUCGGAUCGUAAAACUCUGUUAUUAGGGAAGAACAUAUGUGUAAGUAACUGUGCACAUCUUGACGGUACCUAAUCAGAAAGCCACGGCUAACUACGUGCCAGCAGCCGCGGUAAUACGUAGGUGGCAAGCGUUAUCCGGAAUUAUUGGGCGUAAAGCGCGCGUAGGCGGUUUUUUAAGUCUGAUGUGAAAGCCCACGGCUCAACCGUGGAGGGUCAUUGGAAACUGGAAAACUUGAGUGCAGAAGAGGAAAGUGGAAUUCCAUGUGUAGUGGUGAAAUGCGCAGAGAUAUGGAGGAACACCAGUGGCGAAGGCGACUUUCUGGUCUGUAACUGACGCUGAUGUGCGAAAGCGUGGGGAUCAAACAGGAUUAGAUACCCUGGUAGUCCACGCCGUAAACGAUGAGUGCUAAGUGUUAGGGGGUUUCCGCCCCUUAGUGCUGCAGCUAACGCAUUAAGCACUCCGCCUGGGGAGUACGACCGCAAGGUUGAAACUCAAAGGAAUUGACGGGGACCCGCACAAGCGGUGGAGCAUGUGGUUUAAUUCGAAGCAACGCGAAGAACCUUACCAAAUCUUGACAUCCUUUGACAACUCUAGAGAUAGAGCCUUCCCCUUCGGGGGGCAAAGUGACAGGUGGUGCAUGGUUGUCGUCAGCUCGUGUCGUGAGAUGUUGGGUUAAGUCCCGCAACGAGCGCAACCCUUAAGCUUAGUUGCCAUCAUUAAGUUGGGCACUCUAAGUUGACUGCCGGUGACAAACCGGAGGAAGGUGGGGAUGACGUCAAAUCAUCAUGCCCCUUAUGAUUUGGGCUACACACGUGCUACAAUGGACAAUACAAAGGGCAGCGAAACCGCGAGGUCAAGCAAAUCCCAUAAAGUUGUUCUCAGUUCGGAUUGUAGUCUGCAACUCGACUACAUGAAGCUGGAAUCGCUAGUAAUCGUAGAUCAGCAUGCUACGGUGAAUACGUUCCCGGGUCUUGUACACACCGCCCGUCACACCACGAGAGUUUGUAACACCCGAAGCCGGUGGAGUAACCUUUUAGGAGCUAGCCGUCGAAGGUGGGACAAAUGAUUGGGGUGAAGUCGUAACAAGGUAGCCGUAUCGGAAGGUGCGGCUGGAUCACCU
rnacentral:rRNA from 1 species